rnacentral:tRNA from 1 species
AGCUCAGUUGGAUAGAGCAACGACCUUCUAAGUCGUGGGCCGCAGGUUCGAAUCCUGCA